AGCGUACACGGUGGAUGCCCUGGCAGUCAGAGGCGAUGAAGGACGUGCUAAUCUGCGAUAAGCGUCGGUAAGGUGAUAUGAACCGUUAUAACCGGCGAUUUCCGAAUGGGGAAACCCAGUGUGUUUCGACACACUAUCAUUAACUGAAUCCAUAGGUUAAUGAGGCGAACCGGGGGAACUGAAACAUCUAAGUACCCCGAGGAAAAGAAAUCAACCGAGAUUCCCCCAGUAGCGGCGAGCGAACGGGGAGCAGCCCAGAGCCUGAAUCAGUGUGUGUGUUAGUGGAAGCGUCUGGAAAGGCGCGCGAUACAGGGUGACAGCCCCGUACACAAAAAUGCACAUGCUGUGAGCUCGAUGAGUAGGGCGGGACACGUGGUAUCCUGUCUGAAUAUGGGGGGACCAUCCUCCAAGGCUAAAUACUCCUGACUGACCGAUAGUGAACCAGUACCGUGAGGGAAAGGCGAAAAGAACCCCGGCGAGGGGAGUGAAAAAGAACCUGAAACCGUGUACGUACAAGCAGUGGGAGCACGCUUAGGCGUGUGACUGCGUACCUUUUGUAUAAUGGGUCAGCGACUUAUAUUCUGUAGCAAGGUUAACCGAAUAGGGGAGCCGAAGGGAAACCGAGUCUUAACUGGGCGUUAAGUUGCAGGGUAUAGACCCGAAACCCGGUGAUCUAGCCAUGGGCAGGUUGAAGGUUGGGUAACACUAACUGGAGGACCGAACCGACUAAUGUUGAAAAAUUAGCGGAUGACUUGUGGCUGGGGGUGAAAGGCCAAUCAAACCGGGAGAUAGCUGGUUCUCCCCGAAAGCUAUUUAGGUAGCGCCUCGUGAAUUCAUCUCCGGGGGUAGAGCACUGUUUCGGCAAGGGGGUCAUCCCGACUUACCAACCCGAUGCAAACUGCGAAUACCGGAGAAUGUUAUCACGGGAGACACACGGCGGGUGCUAACGUCCGUCGUGAAGAGGGAAACAACCCAGACCGCCAGCUAAGGUCCCAAAGUCAUGGUUAAGUGGGAAACGAUGUGGGAAGGCCCAGACAGCCAGGAUGUUGGCUUAGAAGCAGCCAUCAUUUAAAGAAAGCGUAAUAGCUCACUGGUCGAGUCGGCCUGCGCGGAAGAUGUAACGGGGCUAAACCAUGCACCGAAGCUGCGGCAGCGACGCUUAUGCGUUGUUGGGUAGGGGAGCGUUCUGUAAGCCUGUGAAGGUGUACUGUGAGGUAUGCUGGAGGUAUCAGAAGUGCGAAUGCUGACAUAAGUAACGAUAAAGCGGGUGAAAAGCCCGCUCGCCGGAAGACCAAGGGUUCCUGUCCAACGUUAAUCGGGGCAGGGUGAGUCGACCCCUAAGGCGAGGCCGAAAGGCGUAGUCGAUGGGAAACAGGUUAAUAUUCCUGUACUUGGUGUUACUGCGAAGGGGGGACGGAGAAGGCUAUGUUGGCCGGGCGACGGUUGUCCCGGUUUAAGCGUGUAGGCUGGUUUUCCAGGCAAAUCCGGAAAAUCAAGGCUGAGGCGUGAUGACGAGGCACUACGGUGCUGAAGCAACAAAUGCCCUGCUUCCAGGAAAAGCCUCUAAGCAUCAGGUAACAUCAAAUCGUACCCCAAACCGACACAGGUGGUCAGGUAGAGAAUACCAAGGCGCUUGAGAGAACUCGGGUGAAGGAACUAGGCAAAAUGGUGCCGUAACUUCGGGAGAAGGCACGCUGAUAUGUAGGUGAAGUCCCUCGCGGAUGGAGCUGAAAUCAGUCGAAGAUACCAGCUGGCUGCAACUGUUUAUUAAAAACACAGCACUGUGCAAACACGAAAGUGGACGUAUACGGUGUGACGCCUGCCCGGUGCCGGAAGGUUAAUUGAUGGGGUUAGCGCAAGCGAAGCUCUUGAUCGAAGCCCCGGUAAACGGCGGCCGUAACUAUAACGGUCCUAAGGUAGCGAAAUUCCUUGUCGGGUAAGUUCCGACCUGCACGAAUGGCGUAAUGAUGGCCAGGCUGUCUCCACCCGAGACUCAGUGAAAUUGAACUCGCUGUGAAGAUGCAGUGUACCCGCGGCAAGACGGAAAGACCCCGUGAACCUUUACUAUAGCUUGACACUGAACAUUGAGCCUUGAUGUGUAGGAUAGGUGGGAGGCUUUGAAGUGUGGACGCCAGUCUGCAUGGAGCCGACCUUGAAAUACCACCCUUUAAUGUUUGAUGUUCUAACGUGGACCCGUAAUCCGGGUUGCGGACAGUGUCUGGUGGGUAGUUUGACUGGGGCGGUCUCCUCCUAAAGAGUAACGGAGGAGCACGAAGGUUGGCUAAUCCUGGUCGGACAUCAGGAGGUUAGUGCAAUGGCAUAAGCCAGCUUGACUGCGAGCGUGACGGCGCGAGCAGGUGCGAAAGCAGGUCAUAGUGAUCCGGUGGUUCUGAAUGGAAGGGCCAUCGCUCAACGGAUAAAAGGUACUCCGGGGAUAACAGGCUGAUACCGCCCAAGAGUUCAUAUCGACGGCGGUGUUUGGCACCUCGAUGUCGGCUCAUCACAUCCUGGGGCUGAAGUAGGUCCCAAGGGUAUGGCUGUUCGCCAUUUAAAGUGGUACGCGAGCUGGGUUUAGAACGUCGUGAGACAGUUCGGUCCCUAUCUGCCGUGGGCGCUGGAGAACUGAGGGGGGCUGCUCCUAGUACGAGAGGACCGGAGUGGACGCAUCACUGGUGUUCGGGUUGUCAUGCCAAUGGCACUGCCCGGUAGCUAAAUGCGGAAGAGAUAAGUGCUGAAAGCAUCUAAGCACGAAACUUGCCCCGAGAUGAGUUCUCCCUGACUCCUUGA
rnacentral:rRNA from 1 species